rnacentral:misc_RNA from 1 species
CAUCCUCAACAUUCACCCGUUUGGGCUGGUCGUUGGUCGUGAGUGCUGCGGGCGCAAGCCGGCUCGCUUUAAAUGGAUGAGUCGUCUGGCGUGUGUCCUUACAAGCGUGAUAGUUAUUUCGUUUGGCUUGGCGCGUGUUUAGAUGGCUUUCUAACUCGGACGAUUGGGAGCGCGCGGUGCAUUCACGUGCCGCGACCCUCAAGCGGCCAUUUUACC